rnacentral:rRNA from 1 species
UACGAAGGGGGCUAGCGUUGCUCGGAAUGACUGGGCGUAAAGGGCGCGUAGGCGGGCUGUACAGUCAGAUGUGAAAUUCCCGGGCUCAACCUGGGGGCUGCAUUUGAUACGUAUGGCCUUGAGUGGGGAAGAGGGUCGUGGAAUUCCCAGUGUAGAGGUGAAAUUCGUAGAUAUUGGGAAGAACACCGGUGGCGAAGGCGGCGACCUGGUCCUUUUACUGACGCUGAGGCGCGAAAGCGUGGGGA